rnacentral:misc_RNA from 3 species
AACGCACAUUGCGCCCCUUGGUAUUCCGAGGGGCAUGCCUGUUCGAGCGUCAUUAUAACCACUCAAGCCUAGCUUGGUAUUGGGGUUCGCGUGUUCGCGGCCCUUAAAAUCAGUGGCGGUGCCGUCUGGCUCUAAGCGUAGUAAUUUCUCUCGCUAUAGGGUUCCGGUGGUUACUUGCCAAAACCCCCCAUUUUUCUAGGUUGACCUCGGAUCAGGUAGGGAUACCCGCUGAACUUAA